rnacentral:rRNA from 1 species
AUUGAACGCUGGCGGAAUGCUUUACACAUGCAAGUCGAGCGGCAGCACGGGGGCAACCCUGGUGGCGAGCGGCGAACGGGUGAGUAAUACAUCGGAACAUGCCCAGUCGUGGGAUAACACUUCGAAAGAAGGGCUAAUACCGCAUACGUCCUGAGGGAGAAAGCGGGGGAUCUUCGGACCUCGCGCGAUUGGAGGGGCCGAUGUCAGAUUAGCUAGUUGGUGGGGUAAAGGCCUACCAAGGCAACGAUCUGUAGCUGGUCUGAGAGGAUGAUCAGCCACACUGGGACUGAGACACGGCCCAGACUCCUACGGGAGGCAGCAGUGGGGAAUUUUGGACAAUGGGGGCAACCCUGAUCCAGCCAUUCCGCGUGAGUGAAGAAGGCCUUCGGGUUGUAAAGCUCUUUCGGCAGGAACGAAACGGUGAGCUCUAACAUAGCUUGCUAAUGACGGUACCUGAAGAAGAAGCACCGGCUAACUACGUGCCAGCCGCCGCAGUAAGAC